UACGUAGGGUGCAAGCGUUGUCCGGAAUUAUUGGGCGUAAAGAGCUCGUAGGCGGUUUGUUGCGUCGGCUGUGAAAUCCCCGAGGCUCAACCUCGGGUCUGCAGUCGAUACGAGCAAACUUAGAGUGUUGCAGGGGAGACUGGAAUUCCUGGUGUAGCGGUGAAAUGACGCAGAGUAUCAGGAGGAACACCCGGUUGGGCGAAGGCGGGGUCUCUGGGGCAACAACUGACGCAGGAGGAGCGAAAGCCGUGGGGAGCGAACAGG
rnacentral:rRNA from 1 species